UACGGGGGGGGCAAGCGUUGUUCGGAAUUACUGGGCGUAAAGGGCGCGUAGGCGGUUCGCUAAGUUGGAUGUGAAAACUCUGGGCUCAACCCAGAGCCUGCAUCCAAAACUGGCGGGCUAGAGUUCUGGAGGGGGUAGCGGAAUUCCUGGUGUAGCGGUGAAAUGCGUAGAUAUCAGGAGGAACACCGGUGGCGAAGGCGGCUACCUGGACAGAAACUGACGCUGAGGAGCGAAAGCGUGGGGAGCGAACAGG
rnacentral:rRNA from 1 species